rnacentral:rRNA from 1 species
AUUGAACGCUGGCGGCAGGCCUAACACAUGCAAGUCGAGCGGCAGCGGGAAAGUAGCUUGCUACUUUUGCCGGCGAGCGGCGGACGGGUGAGUAAUGCCUGGGAAAUUGCCCAGUCGAGGGGGAUAACAGUUGGAAACGACUGCUAAUACCGCAUACGCCCUACGGGGGAAAGCAGGGGACCUUCGGGCCUUGCGCGAUUGGAUAUGCCCAGGUGGGAUUAGCUAGUUGGUGAGGUAAUGGCUCACCAAGGCGACGAUCCCUAGCUGGUCUGAGAGGAUGAUCAGCCACACUGGAACUGAGACACGGUCCAGACUCCUACGGGAGGCAGCAGUGGGGAAUGUUGCACAAUGGGGGAAACCCUGAUGCAGCCAUGCCGCGUGUGUGAAGAAGGCCUUCGGGUUGUAAGGCACUUCCAGCGAGGAGGAAAGGUCAGUAGCUAAUAUCUGCUGACUGUGACGUUACUCGCAGAAGAAGCACCGGCUAACUCCGUGCCAGCCGCCGCAGUAA